ACCUUCGGGCCUCUUGCCAUCAGAUGUGCCCAGAUGGGAUUAGCUAGUAGGUGGGGUAACGGCUCACCUAGGCGACGAUCCCUAGCUGGUCUGAGAGGAUGACCAGCCACACUGGAACUGAGACACGGUCCAGACUCCUACGGGAGGCAGCAGUGGGGAAUAUUGCACAAUGGGCGCAAGCCUGAUGCAGCCAUGCCGCGUGUAUGAAGAAGGCCUUCGGGUUGUAAAGUACUUUCAGCGGGGAGGAAGGCGAUAAGGUUAAUAACCUUGUC
rnacentral:rRNA from 1 species